rnacentral:misc_RNA from 1 species
AAAAGUCGUAACAAGGUUGGAUCACAGUGACAUGAGCCUUCCACGCAUUAUUAAGUAAUUAAUAAAGCGUCGGUUCAUUUGCUGAAGCCUUAGCAGCCAUCGCAAAAUGGUGCCCAGAGCGACUUAUUGCAAAAAAAUAAUUACUGGAGAUUAAAUGCUAGUUUGAGCUCGGUGCGCUAAUUAAUUUGUGUGACAGCAAAUUAAUUAAACACAUGGAUAUCCAGGUUCUCG